CGAGCAUCAGAGAGCGGAGUGGAAACAGGAAGAGGAGGAAAGGGGAAGAAAGGAGACAGGAGAGGAUCGGGAGAGACAAGGUGGUGAGGAGUGAAAGGGAGGACCAGGGGACAAGGGUCCAGAGGGCGUGAGGACCAAAGAGCAGACACUGAAAGAGCCAGCGGGAGUGAGCAUGUCUAUUUAAAGAGAUCGGAGCCUGCAGAAGUCUGCUGUCUUACAAUCUUUACCUGACAGUGUCGAAGUUGGACCAGGAAAUCUGCCUCCUUUUUCUUCAGCAGUCAUUGUGAAGGCUGCAUGUAUCACCCCGUGGAGCUGUACUCAGGCCGUAACACAUGGGACUCCUACCCAGCUGGAGGACCUAACAGAGGACAGUGGCCUUCUGUACACAGUCGGCCCUGGAGCCAUGCUCAAAGAUGCCAAGACGGGCGCAACCAACCACACCAUCCACAAUCAUAUCGCCUCUAUAAUAG
ensembl:lncRNA